rnacentral:tRNA from 1 species
CAGAGUAUAGUUUAUAUAAAAUAUUAAUUUUGGGAAUUAAUGAAAAAGUUUAUUUUUUUCUCUGA